rnacentral:rRNA from 1 species
GAUGAACGCUGGCGGCGUGCCUAACACAUGCAAGUCGAGCGAACGGACGAGAAGUUUGCUUCUCUGAUGUUAGCGGCGGAUGGGUGAGUAACACGUGGAUAACCUACCUAUAAGACUGGGAUAACUUCGGGAAACCGGAUCUAAUAUCCGAUAAUAUUUUGAACCUCAUGGUUCAAAAGUGAAAGACGGUCUUGCUGUCACUUAUAGAUGGAUCCGCGCUGCAUUAGCUAGUUGGUAAGGUAACGGCUUACCAAGGCAACGAUGCAUAGCCGACCUGAGAGGGUGAUCAGCCACACUGGAACUGAGACACGGUCCAGACUCCUACGGGAGGCAGCAGUAGGGAAUCUUGCGCAAUGGGCGAAAGCCUGACAGAGCAACGCCGCGUGAGUGAUGAAGGUCUUCGGAUGGUAAAGCUCUGUUAUUAGGGAGGAACGUAUGUGUGUUUAACUGUGCACAUCUUGACGGUACCUAAUCAGAAAGCCACGGCUAACUACGUG